GACUGCAGGCACACGCACCAGCUUCUGCACCUGCACACACAUAGGCCAGAAGAGGGCAUCUGAUUCCAUGGGCUAGCCUGCAGAGUAUAAGGCCAUCAGUCAUCCCAACUUUAGUCUUGCCCCUCUGGUCAGGUGGUUGGCAUUGUCUCUUGAGAGUCCACUCUCCGUAAUUAUUGUCCCUCGGUGUGUGGCGGGGGAAGAUUCACAUACCAAAGCCUUGCGUUCUUGUGCCUGUCCUCGAGUGGACAUCUAGAUUGAAGAUGAACUCAGAACAAAUAAGCCAUUAGCAGUUCUUAAGCUUUAUUCCUACAGAAUUGUUUACCGUACAAGCUAUGAAGUGCGUCUAUCAAUUUUAUUAGCCAGGGGUUACUUUGGGCUGCCUUUGCGUACAAUCAACCGAGAAGAUGGCUGAAGACAGACUAGCCAGGUACAAGCUCCAAUUAGGAAAUGCAGUGUCUGAAUGCAGCUCCGAGGGUUGACAUUAAAAAAGGACUUAUGAGUACUAAUUACUCUAAGUACUUAUGAGGCAAAUUCUGUGUUUGAAUAGUCAAGAUGCAAGCGGAAGAAUUUUAACCCUUUAAAUGGUUGGCUAGUGAUCAAUGGACUACAUUUCCCAUAGUUCCCCAGGCAGUUUCAUUUGCACUUCCCAGAGGGCUGUUCGCCCUUUGCUCUGGCCCUGAGCAUCCGUGGGGAGAAAAAGAGGCGCUGUACUCGUCAGCAUUGUUUAAAUCAAAUAUCGUAUUCUGUCCUUCCUCGUUCCUCUCUUCUGGAUUCUGAUUCUUCACUCGCCGGUUUCCGGAGGCCGGUCAUCGGUGCGGCUCCUCAAAACAGGAAGCCGUGCGUGCCGGAGCAUUCUGGGAGAUGUAGUUUUCGUUCCCUUACAGGCUGCAGCUUGUCUUCCUCCACCUCCUCCCGUCUAGUGACGGCGAGCGCGCGAACAGACGGAUGGCAGCUGUGAGGGUUAGUGACAGGUCUGCGGAAGAGCACCUUGCGGGCCGCCAACGACCGCGAAGCCAAUGAGUUUCCUGUCGCGAGCCCGCCCUGUAACCGGCUUGCCGCGGAGAGCUCUGGGAAAUGUAGUUUUAGGCACGAUCAGCUGCCGUUAGCUGCUGUCCGUGGCGGGGACCGGGGCUCCGCGGCUCCGCAGGUGUUUGCGGCUCGGAUCAACCUUACACGCGUUCCCGAUGUUCUAGCAUUCUUGAUGGUUCGGGAAGCUUCUGGAACACAGGACAGACACCUGUACAAUGGAAACAAGAUCUGCAUCAUGAGCUUCAGAUGUGUUCUUGGAGCCAUGACCAAAGAGCUCACCUCGAAUUGGGACUUUCUGGAAGUUAAUCCAUGAGGGACCUCCAGCAGAAGCUCUGGAGAGGCCUCGCAGCACCCAUGCUGAACAUCGCGGCGCGUUCAGGUACCUUCUGUUGGCUUCAAGAUCUCCUGGAGAGAAAACUGAGCCAUAUCAUUCCUGGGAGAGGAGAUCCAAGCAGGCUGGAAGAGGGAAGAGUGAUCCAGAUGACCUUGAACCCCCGAUCUUCCUGUCUCUACCGCCCAAAUGCUGAGGUCACAGGAGUGCAUCCUUAUGCCAGGUUUAUGUGGUGCUGCGGAUGGAACCCGGGACCCUGUGCGUGCUAGACAAGCGUCCUGUUAACUCAACUGCCUUCCUAAUUUUGAGGACCCAGGGAUUGAACUCAGGCCCUCCAGCUUUGGUGGUAAGUGCCUUUACGCACCGAGCCACCCCACCGGCUCCUCGCAAACUGGUUUGGCCCAGGUCUCCCAAGUGCUGGGAUCGCAGGCCUCCACGGCCGCACCUGGCUCUCUGCCUCACGAGGGCCAUCAAGACCCCUUCUAAAUCGGUCUCCUCCGUCAUGCUUUCCUCCUGUGUGAGCACUUUAGGUCACAAGUGCUCCAAGGCUCCAUCACUGUCCUCGGCCCGUCUUUGCUAUCCUUGUCGUGUGAGAUGGGAGCGCCCCCGGGGCUUCGUCACUGAUGACAAGCAUCCACCCUCUCCCCAGCCGGAACCUUCAGCUGAUGAAUAAGACUUGAUUGUCUUAUGAACCAUCACCACCCCCGCCCGAUUCAUCCCAUUCAAAGGCUUUCACUCCAAAUGGCUCAUGUGACGUUGCUGGGAGCCGUGGGCCCCUCGGAGCUCCACUUCCACACGUGGAGGAUGUGCGCUGUCUCCUGUGAUGGGCUCCAGAGUGAUGAGCUCUGACGUGGGUUCGAGCCUAUUCGGGUGCUGUAUCCACCCUGUGAUUUUCCCCUCUAUGGCUGCUUGCCUCCAUCCAAGGAACAGCCUCCCUCCCUGUAUUCAUCAGGCGUCUCUCCAGUAUGAAUUAUGGAGUGAAUGGAAAUUUUCCCUUAUUCAUCGCAUUCAAAGAUCCUCUCUGCCACGCGAAUUUGUUGGUUAGCUACCGAAUCCCAUCCAAAUGUCUGGGCAGAGCAUGGCCCAGAGUGAGGGCUAGGCUUUAUCUCAGUUUGUUUUCUGUGACUGUCGGAAAUACAUGACCAAAGGCAACUUGGGGAGAAAAGAGUUCAUGGAUUUAUCCUAUAGGUUCAGUCCACCAUAAAGGAAGCCAGGGCAGGAGCUCAGAGCAGGAACCUGAAGGCAGGAACUGAGCAGAGACCAUGGCGGAGUGUGGCUUGCCUCUCCUGCUUUUUUUAUCCAGCUGCUGUUCUCAUACAGUCCAGGACCACCUAUAUAACCCAGGCUGGUCUCGAACUCACCAUUCCCGUCUCAGCCUGCUGCAUGCUGGAAUUACCAGUAAGAGACAGGUGCCCGGCCCUCUGCCCAUCUCUCAAACCUGCCCAAAGCCCACCUCUUCUCGGCAGCCCUCCGGUGAUUCUGUGAGCCACAUUGACACAUUUCUGUGAGAAUUUGAUGUCUACAGAUGCCUUCUUCACCUGCGAUCUAUUUAUACCUUGUUUUUUCCUCCUCUGACAGAUCUAACAUUUGAAGGUGAGCCACAUCUUGUCCUUUGCAUUCUCCAUGGAGCCUUCAAGUGCCAAAACACCGAGGAAGGGUGCUGUGGCUUGGUGACUGUGUGUCACUGUGGACAAUGUGGCCAUUUGCCUUUGAAGAUGAAGCUCGCCUUCUCCAGAUGAUUUUCUGUCUUUCCUUCAAGGUCGCACAGGGAGGCAGGGGAUUUCUUAUUGCUUCUUCUUCCUCCCUGCUCUGCCCACCAGGCAGCCCAGCCACGUUAGCUCUGAAGACAAGUGACAGGAGCCCCCGCUGCCUCCCCUCUGCCAAGGAGAUGGUACUAGUUAGUUGGGUGUUGUGCUAGGACAUAGGAAUGACCUUGGGAAAGGUCACCUGAUGACUAAGCAGGAAUGGGCACUGGUGUGUCUGUUCACCACAUCCAGGGUGUCGGGGAGGCUGGCUCAGGGACCACCCCCAGUGUGAAUUUGGAGCUGUGCUGGCUCAGCUUCCGUGGCACCUAGGUCUGUACCUGUUGAGGACUUAGUGGACAGACAGUAUAUGGAAGUAGCACACAAAAGUGAAGGAAUACACCGAGCUACCCUGCCACCCCCUCCCGACCCCCAUGUAAAGGUCACAUCCCUUCUUUCAGAAUAUGGCUGAGUUCUGGCUCCCACCAAGGAUAGACGCCCCCUUCCCUGUUGGUUAUAAAAAUCUCUUAUCUCAUGUAUAAAAAGGGGUUGGCAAAUGUCACUAAACCUAAGUUCUUAUAUGGCCAAAGCUCCCUUCUGACCUUUUAAAGCAAGCACAUGAAGGGAUAGGGAUGUAGUUCAAUUUGGUAGGGUGCUUGCUUAGUAUGCACGAAGCCUGAGUUCCUUUUGUAGCGCUCUGUAAGACGGGUGUGGUGGAGCAUGGUUGUAAUCCCAGCACUUGGGAGCAUGUGGACAGGUUGCCAAGUGCCAAGGCAGAGGGAAGGGAGUGCCUGCUAGAGGCCACAUAGGAAUCCAUUUGUCUCCAGUGUUCUGUACCACUGUCCUGGAAAUGCAUUUUGUACUAAGCUUCUAGAACAUCCUCUCUAGUUGCCCCUAAGAUCACCAUCCCAAGACCACUUUCCCUAAGAAAUGACAGAAAUGGGUAGAGGGAACAGAAGUAGAGGAAAUGCAUGCUCUUGAAGGAACCAAGGCCUAAGGUGAAAGGUUACCCUAACCCAGGCCCUCCAGGGAGCUGCUGAUGUCCACCCCAAAGAGGGCUGCUGGGAACCUACUCAAGACAGUAGUCGAAAGCUGUAAAGACCCCCCCUCCGUGUCUUGACGGCACACACCAGGAGUCGUAGCUCUUAGGAGACGAGGCAAGGCACUUAAGAGUUCAAAGUGCGGUUGAGGCCAGCCCAGGCAACUUACUUGAAAUCCCUUCUCCAUGCUGCGUUUCCCAUCCCCCUACUUCCCAUUCUGAGGUUACCAGCAGGGCUCCCAGUCUCUCUCUCUCUCUCUCUCUCUCUCUCUCUCUCUCUCUCUCUCUCUCUCUCUCUCUCUCGUUUGUUUUUCGAAAAAGGGUUUCUCUGUGUAACAGCUCUGGCUGUCCUGGAACUCACUCUGUAGACCAGACUGGCCUUGAACUCACAGAGGUCUGCCUGCCUCUGCUUCCUGAGUAAGUGAGAGACUCUCCUAACAGUACCUCACUUGUUAGCACUCACAGUGACCUGGGAGUCCCAUGCAGCGCCUCACUGAAUCUUGUCAACAAGCCUUUGGAAUCUGUCUUUGGGCCAUGCUACAACUGAGGGAAAUAGGUGUGGAGAGCUUUGCUCAGAUCUCUCUCAAAGCCCUACAACUCCUGGGUAGAGGAGCUAGGACUCAAAUGUACACUUCCUAGUAACUAUGCCCAUGAAAGUCCUGGGGUUGGUUGCAGGAGUUUCAAUUCCAUUUGCUGGUUGAAAAUAGCACUGUUUUUACAGUCUCAUCUUUAGCCUGCCCAAACCUAUCCAAUACUUUACAGGUACAUGAGCUCCCUAUAAGAGACAUAAGCUUCUUAUCAGCAGUCGCUAGUGUAUCUGCUGUGGGAAUUGAAGGGACUCUUGAGUUGGGGCAGAUUCAAGAGCCUCUGGUUAUACCAUUGAAUCUGCAAAUCAGGCAUUGUUACGGUUUAUCUCGGCUCCACUCUGUCUGAGACCUUCUUUGGAUUAGCUGGAGAUAGCCAACAUGGUCCAAGUAGGGCUCUGUGUCUGGAGCCUUUGCUCUGCCUGCCAACUGGGUUUCUCCUCUCCCUGUAAAAUCAUCCGGGGCUAAGAUGUCCCUAGUGCCUCUACCUUCGUUUAUGUGUACACUGUCUUCAGAUGAGUAGCUUCAUCUUAUGCUCUGGGCUGUCCGAGCCCACACUAUCAAUAUCCCUCUCCACUGCACUCCACUUUACCUAUCCUACCUCUAGCCAGUAGUACCUAGGUGGCAGAGUCAUAUACUACAAGAUUCUACCUCUGUGCAUGUAUUCUGUUCUUUGGACCAGAGUCUAAUACAGGCUGGCCAGCAACUUUUGAAGUCAUUUGACUCAAAAAUGGAAGGAAAUCCAGUCAGGCUAGGUAAUUUCCCCCUUUUUUUUGAAAUCUGAACCUGAAAUCAGACUGAUUGACAGUAUGUAGCAAGAUGUUAUGAUGGUAAGUAGGGCUUUGAUGGUCCAAUGUUCUGGCCAAACUCACAAUGGAGAAUUUUAAUGAGGAAAUAGGAAAUAAGUCUAUUAUAUAGGGAAAAUCCACUUACUGUGGAAAAGGAAAUAAACCUUUCUUUGGAACAAAGGAAAAGAAGAGAAUGCUCAGAGUAGGGUCAUGGCUAGUAAGCUGCCUCGCUGCCCUGUAGCUCACCAGGCCGUCCUCGCCUGUAUGUGCCGCUGUAGCAAGCUUGUAUUUUUUACUUUUGCUCUUGCUUGACCUAGAAGUGGUCAUGUGACCCAGUUCUGCUAAUACACUUACGGGGAAAUUGUUGGGACCACCUUGCAUCCACGAGGUAACGAGACCAAGGGGGGGACACCCAGAUGAGGAUGACCAGGCAGAUGAGCAAAAGGAGCCAGAGGAACCAUCCCCUUCCAGCCUGCCCUGUGCCAGCCUGCUGUCUCCUGGUUCCCGUCCUGCCUUUGGGGCCUGAAACAGCUCUUCACGGAGCUUCCCUGCCUCCCCGCCCUCACUGCUGCCCUAUGGGUCUCUCUGUGGCUCUAAAUGGAGAAAACAACCCAAGUUGCUGUCUUCCUAAGUGUUGGUGGGAGAAAUGCACCACAGACGGUAGGAAAUGGACACGAACCAUGAAGGGCAGGCUCCGCCACAGCCUAAAGAGCAGGCCCAGUGAUUAGUCAUAACCCUGCAGGCCCCCUGGACACAGAUCAGGAAGGAUGAAUAGUUCUGGAAAUUUCCAUAUGCAUAUGAGCCCAAGUCUUCUCAGCCAGGGCUGAGGCAUAACUUUAAGAAAAAAACAUUUUUUUAGUUAGUGCCUGAGAUCCAGAGCCCAAAGAGUGAGAAAUCAGGAUAGGCCAGGUGAGUAAAUUCUGAAGGCAAUGACCAGGAUCUGCAGCUGGCGGUUGGAGCAGUUUGUGGCAUCCGGAGCCAGCAGGUGCAAAGGCCAUACUCAGGAGGAGACAGCCUUAGUGUUGUUUUAAAAUGGUCCUCUUGGAAAAAAGGCUGUGCCUGCUUCCUCUCUCUCUCUCUCUCUCUCCCCCCCUAACCCCCUUUUUCUUCCUUUGUUCAAGCGAAGAGGGCAGGAGCCGGAAGUGCCGCUGAGCACCUGGAGACGGGGAGGCUGGGGGUGUGGCUCAGUGGGCAGAGUGCUUGCCUAGCAGGCACAGAGCCCUGGCUUGGGUCCCCAGCACUGCCUAAACUAGGCAUGGUAGUACAUGCUUGUAAUCCUACCCCUUGGGAGGUGGAGGACAAGUCCGAGAUCAUUGGAGAAGCUGAACUCAAGGCCGGGCCCGUCCUCUUUGAAACUCUGUUUUCUAAAUUCAAAAGCCAGGCUUCUCCUGGAGCCUCAAUAUACUCGUCACGUCACCCCCAUUAUAAGCAGACUCUAGAAAAAGCCACCCUCCCUCUGGGGCAGCUCAGAAUAACCCCAGGGGCCCAGCCAGGGCUGCGUUAAAUCAGUGAGAAGCUGUGACGUAGACACCGGCCCUCAGGACAUGCCUGUGUGCCCCUGUGUAUACACUGUGUAUAUGGAGCUGGGCCCCAAAUGCCAAGGCCAGUAGCUCGCAUCUGUCUCUUGUAGACUCCAUUCGCUCAAUGGGAAUAGGCUAAAACCAGCAAAGUGGAUCUCAGCUUAUAAAAGGGACAAGGAAGAUGAGUCACCAGAGAGGGGAAAAAAACCAAACCAAACCAAACCAAACCUCCUGUGAGGUGGAAAAGGAGUGAAGGCUGGGUCGGGAGCUGAACCGGCAAAAAGAAGCAUUUCUAUGUGUGCCUUGUGACAAGUCAGGGCCUCCCCCUCCCCAAUAUUUUUUUGUAUGUACAGAACCAGAGAUUGAACCUUGGACCUCACAUAUUCUGGAAAGUGCUCUCUCACUGAGCCACACCCCAGCCCCUCACUGGGAGAUUCUAGACAGGUGCUCUAACCACUGAGCCACACCCCAGCCCCUCACUGGGGGAUUCUAGGCAGGGGCCCUACCACUGAGCCACACCCCAGCCCUCUUUUGACUUUUGAUUUUGAGACAAGGUCUUACUGAGUUGCCUAGGCUGGCCUGAAUCUCACUCCCAUCCUUCCUCCUGCUCAGCCCCCUGAGUCACUGGAAUUAUAGACUUGCCAAAGCUAUUGCUGACACUUUUUAACCCAAAGUCUCCCCCCACCCUCGCCCCCACCCCCAGAAAGCCUCCCUACAGAGAUCACGGCUUUGUAGUCUCUUAAAUCCAAUAAAGGGAAGCAGGAGCUUUCCCCUGACCCUCCACAUGAGGGCUUUACACCAUGCAGCCAUGGGGUGAUGUGUUCGAGCCUCUCCCUCAACCUUCACGGGUUUCUUUCCUGUGGUCUCUGAUGAGAAGCACCGGGCCAUCUCUGCUUGCCAGUUUCUCUUGUAACUUCCUCUCCAAACACACUCCCCACCACUUCUCACAAGUGCUCUGUCGUGUCCAUGUCCCUCACUGGUGACCAGUUUAGGGUUCAGAUGACUUAGCUAAUGGUGUCUGGAAUGAAAGAGCUGGUACAGUCAGUAGAUUAGGAUUCUGACCAAAGGUUCUUCACCACCCAUUGUCUCCCCAGGGUCUCUGUCUGCAAGCAAACCCCAGCAGUCUAACAGCUGCAAGGCCCUAGUGAGCGGGAUUCAUUGACAUGCCCUCACGAGCAUGGCGCUUUUCUCCAGUGUGAAUUCUCUGACGUUGAAUGAGUUUCGUGGCCUUGAAAGCCCUCAGGUAGUCACUGUGGUGGGUUUCUGUUGCGUGGAAAGUAGCCAGGGUGUGUGGGGAUGCUGGCCGAUGCCUCCUACAUCCCCAGGAUUCUCUCCAAGGUGGAUGUUGCUACGAUGUUGAGAAGGUUGGGAGCCUCCGGGAAAACUGCUUUGUACGUACAACAGUUGCCGCCGUUCCGACGGUACCAACACUGUGAUAUGGAAUAAACUGGAUUCUGACAUGA